UACGUAGGGGGCAAGCGUUGUUCGGAAUUACUGGGCGUAAAGCGCACGUAGGCGGAUUUGUAAGUCAGGGGUGAAAUCCCGGGGCUCAACCUCGGAACUGCCUUUGAUACUGCAAGUCUCGAGUCCGAUAGAGGUGAGUGGAAUUCCUAGUGUAGAGGUGAAAUUCGUAGAUAUUAGGAAGAGCACCAGUGGCGAAGGCGGCUCACUGGAUCGGUACUGACGCUGAGGUGCGAAAGCGUGGGGAGCAAACAGG
rnacentral:rRNA from 1 species